UGUUGUGAGAAGGUGGGAGGGUGGAAUAUAAGGGUGAAUCCGACCUGCUCCUGCUUUCAAGAAGCUUGCCAUCCAGGGAGGGAGUGGACAGUGGCGCCUCGGAGCUGGCUCACAGAGGAUGGGUAAGACCACAGUAGGAGAAUAUUGCCACAGUGGCCAUUUUAGAGCACCUACUUUGUGCUGCUCUUUGGACUGAUCAUCCCAUGGACACUAUUGUGCUCAGUACAACCCUGAGGGAGAAGCAUGAUCUCUCUUUUACAGGUUUCCUGAGACUUUGGCUUUGGGUGAACAAAAGACAGACAUGCGGGCUUCUGUCCUAUCCAUUCUCAAAAAAACCCAACAAAAUUCAAAGCAGGCUACCUGCUCAGAUGGUUGGGGGAGCAGAAAGAAAGGACAUAGUUUUAUAUGUCAAAAUGUCAGUCCAGCCACAAAGAAUCUGUGCAUCUGAGCUGAAAGGUGGGCUCUGCAGGGGUGAGAAAACCUUCUGGGAUAGGCAGUGCCCUCCUGAGAUUGGAUCUGUUUCAAAUCUGAGUCCAGGUUUACUGAGGGACACUGGUUCGAAUGGGAUAAACCACUGCAGGCCAAUGGCAAGAGUAAAUAAGAAUGACAUUUGUUGAGCAUCUGUUCUGUGCCAAGCACUGAACUGUAUUUUAUUUUUAUUUUAGCCUCCCUAACUCCAGAGUUUGGGGCUUUUUCUCAAGCCCUGUUAUCUCUCUUGUAAAAAUAAGGUCUUACUCAUGAUGAAGGCAGUCAACGGCAAAUGGCACUGGGUGCUCAGCUCUGGGGAGCAGGGAGGGGAUACUCUCAGCCAGAAGGGAUUCUCAGCCAGUCUGAAUGGCAACUGUGGGCUGAGCCGACAUCCUCCCACCUUCCAGAAACUCUUCAGUCUGCAGAGUGAGGAUUACAAAUGCAAAGACUGGUCCACUGGCCAAGGAGGGUCAGAAUCUAUCCUGGUGGAGGUAAAAGCUGUUCUGGAUCUCUCUGUCUUCUCGGAAUUCACAUGACUAGUAUCUUUAGUUUGGCUGGAAGACUAAAUUGUCCUUGUAAGUGUAAGGCAAUGUCCACUUCAUGUGUGUACAUUUUAUCAUUUUUCAUAUUCUAAGUUACCUGAGGUCUUUUCAGUACUGUGUCUCUUAAAUUCUUUUUUUUUUUUUUUAAAGAUUUUAUUAUUUAUUUGACAGAGAGAGCAGGGGGAGGGGCAGGCAGAGGGAGAGGGAAAAGCAGGUUCCCCUGUUGAGCCGAGAGCCCGAUGCGGAACUCGAUUCCAGGAUCCUGGGAUCAUGACCUGAGCCGAAGGCAAACACUUAACCCACUGAGCCCCUCAGCUCUCUUUGUCUCUUAGGCUUCUAAUAGUAGGAAGCUAGCGAACAUUUAUCGAGCCCUUACUAUGUGCCAGGCACUGUUUUAAGCACUUUACAUGGAUGAACUCAUUUCAUUCUUUCAACAACCCCAUUAUUAUUACCAUUUUACAGAUGGGGAAUCUGAGGCCCAGAGAGGGUAAAUAACUUGCUCAUGAACUCAGGCGACUUGGCUCUGGAUGUCUCAUGCUUAGCCACUCCUCUGUAUGGCUUCUAGUAGCAAAGAUGGAAUCUCCUUAAAAAAUUCACUUGGGAAGUUAGCAGUAUAUUUCAGUUUGUGCUCAUGGCAAGGAAAGUUCAAUAGUUGCAGGAAAAGGUACCAGGACAUGGUGGUGGGGACUGGGGGGCACUGUAAUGUUUGGGGAUAAAUAUUACACAUGAUACCAGAAACCCCUGGGUUUCAUUUAAAAAAAAUUUUUUUUUUAAAUUUUUAAGUAAUUUCUACAUCCAACAUGGGGCUCAAACUUAUAACCCCAAGAUCAAGAGAUGUAUGCUCUACUGACUGAACCAGCCAGGCAGCCCACCCCUGGGUUCAAUUCUUGGCCAUGCUGCCUACGGAGCCUUGGACCAUGGGCAAAUCACUUCAACUUUCUGAGCCUUUUUUUCUCCCUCGUGUGUCAAAUGGGAUUAAGACACUCUGCCUCAGAGGGUUGCUGUAAACUAAUGAGAUUAUGAAUAUCAAAGUGGUUUGUAACCUGGACAGCACUACCUACAUUUAAGGUAAUGAAGUUAUCGUUGUGUUGGCAUUAAGAUUAAGGAAUGGAGGGGCUGUUUUUUUUUUUUAAAGUUUAUUUAUUUAAGUAAUCUCUGCACCCAACAUGGGUGGGGCUCAAACUCAGGACCCCCUGAGCCAGCCAGGCCCCUCAAAUAAAUAAACUUAAAAAAAAAAAGAUUAAGGAAUGGAGUUGGUGAGGAGUGACAUAGUAGUAAGAGAGGCAGGGACUGCCCAGGCCUGCUAAUAAGAUGGCCAUUCUCCCGGCGCCUGGGUGGCUCAGAUGGUUAAGCGUCUGCCUUCGGCUCAGGUCAUGAUGCCAGGGUCCUGGGAUCGAGUCCUGCAUCUGGCUCCCUGCUCAGUGGGAGUCGGCUUCUCUCUCUCCCUCUGCCCCUUCCCCCUGCGUGUGCUCUCUUGAGUGCUCUCUCAAGUAAAUAAAUAAAAUCUUAAAAAAAAAAAAGAUGGCCGUUCUCUCACCUGGUGCCGGCUCAGCCUGUGCCCUGGACUCAGAGCCAUUUCCCCAAUUCCUUCGGAAGGCUGAGCUGCGGACAACAGCCACUCUAAGCUGGAAAGGAAUUUAUUCAAGGAACUAAUGAAUAGUGGGCGGUGUUCUGGGGAGGAAGAGAGAGCUAGGAGUAAUGACCAGCCAUGUCCGUGGAACUUCUCUAGUGGAAACACCACAGCUGCCCUCAGAGGACCCGCACGACCCCCGCUCCUGGGCUCGCACAGGUGCACAGCGCUCAUUCCCGAUUUCAGGUCUUGUGCAGGCGAGUCCGCUGGGUGGAACCCAAGCGGCGUCUGUGCCCUAACUAACUUCGAGGGAGUCCUGCGAGGGGCACGUGGCCUUGAUCUUGGAGAGAUCGCACCCAUGGGACAUGACCAAAGGAUAGAGGGUUUGCAGAGGUUUGGGUGGCCACAGAGGACGAAUAUCCUCUACGUCAGUCUCAUUCCCAACAUGCUUGAUCCCAAGACGGCGACUGCAGGGAAGGGCUAGGAGAGGAACCCACCGCAGAGGGCUCCUGGCCCAUGAGGACCCCAGAGGACGCUGUGCUUGCGUCUCCACAUCCGGAUAGUGUGGUGGGAUGGCUCCUGGGCUCUUGGACAUCUGGGACGGACCUCGGCGGUGCUGUAUGUGUCAGAUGAGCGCUCCGGGCCUCAGCAUGCAGGGUGGAGACAUUCAAGUCAGCCUGGGCCGAGGAAGAGGGUGCGAGCGGGGUCCUCUGAGCUGCUACCUUUGUUGUCGCCUUUCCCGUCCCCUUUGUCUCUCACACACACUGGCCAUCCUUUGUGUAUGGAGGAAACACUCUUGUCACAGGAAUAAAGACUCCAUCGGGAA